CCUACGGGAGGCAGCAGUGGGGAAUCUUGCGCAAUGGGCGAAAGCCUGACGCAGCCAUGCCGCGUGAAUGAUGAAGGUCUUAGGAUUGUAAAAUUCUUUCACCGGGGACGAUAAUGACGGUACCCGGAGAAGAAGCCCCGGCUAACUUCGUGCCAGCAGCCGCGGUAAUACGAAGGGGGCUAGCGUUGCUCGGAAUUACUGGGCGUAAAGGGCGCGUAGGCGGACAUUUAAGUCAGGGGUGAAAUCCCAGAGCUCAACUCUGGAACUGCCUUUGAUACUGGGUGUCUUGAGUGUGAGAGAGGUAUGUGGAACUCCGAGUGUAGAGGUGAAAUUCGUAGAUAUUCGGAAGAACACCAGUGGCGAAGGCGACAUACUGGCUCAUUACUGACGCUGAGGCGCGAAAGCGUGGGGAGCAAACAGGAUUAGAUACCCUGGUAGUCCACGCCGUAAACGAUGAUGUCUAGUUGUCGGUCGUGCAUGCUAGUUCGGUUGGACGCGACGACGUAACGACAUUAAGUACAACUCCGCCGUCGGGGUAGGGUACGGGUCGGCGAAGAAGUUAAAACUUAACGAAAGGAAGUUAGUACGGCGUGAGACGUCGCCGACGGACGACGACGAGGGAGGAGG
rnacentral:rRNA from 1 species